rnacentral:ncRNA from 1 species
CUGAAGUUCCCCUCAAGAUAGAUGGAGUAUGUAAUGAAGCUGUUAUAUUCAGUAAAACGAAUGAUUAGAGGAAUUUGUGGGACGAAACGUCUUCGGCCUGGUCUCAAACCUUUAUAAGUAUGAUGUCUCGUUUGCUUCAUGAAGCUCAGACAUUGAAUGCCUUUUCCAAGUGAGAUCAUUUCUGAUAAGCAGAAGUGGCGCCGUGGGAAUGGACCAAACGUUGGGUUAAAGUAUAAGUUUCAUUGAGUUAAAGCAUAAAUGAAGUAUG